GCCUGGAUAGCUCAGUCAGUAGAGCAUCAGACUUUUAAUCUGAGGACCCAAGGUUCAUGUCCCUGUUCAGGAA
rnacentral:tRNA from 1 species